rnacentral:tRNA from 4 species
GGAGGGAUGGUCGAGUGGUUUAAGGCACCGGUCUUGAAAACCGGCGUGGGUGCAAGCUCACCGUGGGUUCGAAUCCCACUCCCUCCGCCA